AUUGAACGCUGGCGGCAGGCCUAACACAUGCAAGUCGAACGAGCGGCGGACGGGUGAGUAAUGUAUGGGAAUCUGCCCGAUAGAGGGGGAUAACUACUGGAAACGGUGGAUAAUACCGCACACUAUCGGAUGGACCCAUAUGGGAUUAGCUAGUAGGUGGGGUAAAGGCGCACCUCGGCGACGAUCCCUAGCUGGUCUGAGAGGAUGAACAGCCACACUGGAACUGAGACACGGUCCAGACUCCUACGGGAGGCAGCAGUGGGGAAUAUUGCACAAUGGGCGCAAGCCUGAUGCAGCCAUGCCGCGUGUAUGAAGAAGGCCUUAGGGUUGUAAAGUACUUUCAGCGGGGAGGCGUUACCCGCAGAAGAAGCACCGGCUAACUCCGUGCCAGCAGCCGCGGUAAUUC
rnacentral:rRNA from 1 species